rnacentral:tRNA from 1 species
GCGGCUGUAGCUCAAUGGUAGAGCGGCAAAAUCGAGUCUAUGCUACUCGGAUGCUUAACGCAUCGUGCGGGUUCGACUCCCGCCAGCCACC